rnacentral:rRNA from 1 species
UGGGGAAUAUUGGACAAUGGGCGCAAGCCUGAUCCAGCCAUGCCGCGUGAGUGAUGAAGGCCUUAGGGUUGUAAAGCUCUUUUAGUGGGGAAGAUAAUGACGGUACCCACAGAAAAAGCCCCGGCUAACUUCGUGCCAGCAGCCGCGGUAAUACGAAGGGGGCUAGCGUUGUUCGGAUUUACUGGGCGUAAAGCGCACGUAGGCGGAUCGUUAAGUGAGGGGUGAAAUCCCAGGGCUCAACCCUGGAACUGCCUUUCAUACUGGCGAUCUAGAGUCCGGAAGAGGUGAGUGGAACUCCUAGUGUAGAGGUGGAAUUCGUAGAUAUUAGGAAGAACACCAGUGGCGAAGGCGGCUCACUGGUCCGGUACUGACGCUGAGGUGCGAAAGCGUGGGGAGCAAACA